CCCUUAGAUGUCCUGGGCCGCACGCGCGUUACACUGAUGCAUUCAACGAGCUUAUAACCUUGGCCGAGAGGCCUGGGCAAUCUUGUUAACGUGCAUCGUGAUAGGGAUAGAUUAUUGAAAUUAUUAAUCUUGAACGAGGAAUUCCUAGUAAACGCAGAUCAUCAAUCUGCAUUGAUUACGUCCCUGCCCUUUGUACACACCGCCCGUCGCACCUACCGAUUGGAUGGUCCGGUGAAGCCUCGGGAUUGUGGUUCUUGCCGCUUUAUUGUGGCGUGACCGCGAGAACUUGUCUAAACCUUAUCAUCUAGAAGAAGGUGAAGUCGUAACA
rnacentral:rRNA from 1 species